rnacentral:misc_RNA from 1 species
GAGUUCAUGCCCGAAAGGGUAGACCUCCCACCCUUGUGUAUUAUUACUUUGUUGCUUUGGCGAGCUGCCUUCGGGCCUUGUAUGUUCGCCAGAGAAUAUCAAAACUCUUUUUAUUAAUGUCGCCUGAGUACUAUAUAAUAGUUAAAACAUUCAACAACGGAUCACUUGGUUCU